rnacentral:rRNA from 1 species
AACGAACGCUGGCGGCAUGCCUAACACAUGCAAGUCGAACGAGACCUGCGGGUCUCGUGGCGCACGGGUGCGUAACGCCGGGGAACCUGCCCUUAGGUUCGGAAUAACCUGCCGAAAGGGGUGCUAAAACCGAAAAAUGUCCUCGGACCACAGAUUGAUCGCCGUUGGAUGGGCCCGCGUUGGGUUAGCCAGGUGGUAGGGUAAAAGCCUACCAAGGCGACGAUCCAUAGCUGGUCUGAGAGGAUGAUCAGCCACACUAGGACUGGGACAAGGCGCAGACACCUCCGGAAGGCAGCAGGGGGGAAUAUGGGACACUGGGCGAAAGCCUGAGGCCGCAGGGUCGCGAGGGUGAUGAAGGCGGUAGGGUUGUAGAGAUCUUUUUCCCGGGAUGAUAUGGACAGUACCGGGAAAAUAGGCUCCGGCAACCUCGGU